GUGAGGAAUUUUGCGCAAUGGGGGCAACCCUGACGCAGCGACGCCGCGUGGAGGACGAAGUCUUUCGGGAUGUAAACUCCUGUCAGUGGGGACGAUAAUGACGGUACCCACAGAGGAAGCACCGGCUAACUCCGUGCCAGCAGCCGCGGUAAGACGGAGGGUGCAAGCGUUGUUCGGAAUUACUGGGCGUAAAGCGUAUGUAGGCGGCAAGUUAAGUUCAAUGUUAAAGCCCACGGCUCAACCGAGGAGAUGCAUUGAAUACUGGCUAGCUAGAGGGUGUUAGAGGAAGACGGAAUUCCCAGUGUAGCGGUGAAUUGCGUAGAUAUUGGGAGGAACAUCGGUAGCGAAAGCGGUCUUCUGGGACAUACCUGACGCUGAGGUACGAAAGCGUGGGGAGCAAACGGGAUUAGAAACCCUGGUAGUCC
rnacentral:rRNA from 1 species